UACGGGAGGCAGCAGUGGGGAAUAUUGCACAAUGGGCGCAAGCCUGAUGCAGCCAUGCCGCGUGUAUGAAGAAGGCCUUCGGGUUGUAAAGUACUUUCAGUCGUGAGGAAGGUGUUAAGGUUAAUAACCUUAGCAAUUGACGUUAGCGACAGAAGAAGCACCGGCUAACUCCGUGCCAGCAGCCGCGGUAAUACGGAGGGUGCGAGCGUUAAUCGGAAUUACUGGGCGUAAAGGGCACGCAGGCGGUUAAUUAAGUUGGAUGUGAAAUCCCCGGGCUUAACCUGGGAAUGGCAUUCAAGACUGGUUAGCUAGAGUCUUGUAGAGGGGGUAGAAUUCCAUGUGUAGCGGUGAAAUGCGUAGAGAUGUGGAGGAAUACCGGUGGCGAAGGCGGCCCCUGGGACAAAGGCUGACGCUCAUGUGCGAAAGCGUGGGGAGCGAAACAGGGAUUAGAUACC
rnacentral:rRNA from 1 species